UAGUUUGAUCCUGGCUCAGGAUGAACGCUGGCGGCGUGCCUAAUACGUGCAAGUCGUAACAAGGUAGCCGUAAAGUUUGAGCAUGGCUCAGGAAAGUCGUAACAAGGUAGCCGUAAGUCGUAACAAGGUAACCGUAAAGUUUGAUCAUGGCUCAGAAGUCGUAACAAGGUAGCCGUAAGUCGUAACAAGGUAGCCGUAUGUCGUAACAGGGUAACCAUAGAGUUUGAUCCUGGCUCAGUAUAAAGUCGUAACAAGGUAACCGAU
rnacentral:rRNA from 1 species